rnacentral:tRNA from 1 species
CAGAGGGUAGUUUAAUUUAGAAUCUUAGCUUUGGGAGUUAAGAGUGAGAGUUAGAAUCUCUUCCCUUUGA